rnacentral:rRNA from 1 species
CGCGUAGGUGGUUCGUUAAGUUGGAUGUGAAAUCCCCGGGCUCAACCUGGGAACUGCAUUCAAAACUGUCGAGCUAGAGUAUGGUAGAGGGUGGUGGAAUUUCCUGUGCAGCGGUGAAAUGCGUAGAUAUAGGAAGGAACACCAGUGGCGAAGGCGACCACCUGGACUGAUACUGACACUGAGGUGCGAAAGCGUGGGGAGCAAACA